UUAUAGCUCAAUAGGUAGAGCACCAGGUUGUGAUCCUGGGGGUCGCGGGUUCGAUUCCCGCUAG
rnacentral:tRNA from 1 species